CGUGCGAUUGGAUUGCACGUCUAAGCAGUAAGGCUGAGUAUUAGGCAAAUCCGGUACUCGUUAAGGCUGAGCUGUGAUGGGGAGAAGACAUUGUGUCUUCGAGUCGUUGAUUUCACACUGCCGAGAAAAGCCUCUAGAUAGAAAAUAGGUGCCCGUACCGCAAACCGACACAGGUAGUCAAGAUGAGAAUUCUAAGGUGAGCGAGCGAACUCUCGUUAAGGAACUCGGCAAAAUGACCCCGUAACUUCGGGAGAAGGGGUGCUCUUUAGGGUUAACGCCCAGAAGAGCCGCAGUGAAUAGGCCCAAGCGACUGUUUAUCAAAAACACAGGUCUCUGCUAAACCGUAAGGUGAUGUAUAGGGGCUGACGCCUGCCCGGUGCUGGAAGGUUAAGAGGAGUGGUUAGCUUCUGCGAAGCUACGAAUCGAAGCCCCAGUAAACGGCGGCCGUAACUAUAACGGUCCUAAGGUAGCGAAAUUCCUUGUCGGGUAAGUUCCGACCCGCACGAAAGGCGUAACGAUUUGGGCACUGUCUCAACGAGAGACUCGGUGAAAUCAUAGUACCUGUGAAGAUGCAGGUUACCCGCGACAGGACGGAAAGACCCCGUGGAGCUUUACUGUAGCCUGAUAUUGAAAUUCGGCACAGCUUGUACAGGAUAGGUAGGAGCCUUUGAAACGUGAGCGCUAGCUUACGUGGAGGCGCUGGUGGGAUACUACCCUAGCUGUGUUGGCUUUCUAACCCGCACCACUUAUCGUGGUGGGAGACAGUGUCAGGCGGGCAGUUUGACUGGGGCGGUCGCCUCCUAAAAGGUAACGGAGGCGCUCAAAGGUUCCCUCAGAAUGGUUGGAAAUCAUUCAUAGAGUGUAAAGGCAUAAGGGAGCUUGACUGCGAGACCUACAAGUCGAGCAGGGUCGAAAGACGGACUUAGUGAUCCGGUGGUUCCGCAUGGAAGGGCCAUCGCUCAACGGAUAAAAGCUACCCCGGGGAUAACAGGCUUAUCUCCCCCAAGAGUUCACAUCGACGGGGAGGUUUGGCACCUCGAUGUCGGCUCAUCGCAUCCUGGGGCUGUAGUCGGUCCCAAGGGUUGGGCUGUUCGCCCAUUAAAGCGGUACGCGAGCUGGGUUCAGAACGUCGUGAGACAGUUCGGUCCCUAUCCGUCGUGGGCGUAGGAAAUUUGAGAGGAGCUGUCCUUAGUACGAGAGGACCGGGAUGGACAUACCUCUGGUGUACCAGUUGUCGUGCCAACGGCAUAGCUGGGUAGCUAUGUGUGGACGGGAUAAGUGCUGAAAGCAUCUAAGCAUGAAGCCCCCCUCAAGAUGAGAUUUCCCAACUUCGGUUAUAAGAUCCCUCAAAGAUGAUGAGGUUAAUAGGUUCGAGGUGGAAGCAUGGUGACAUGUGGAGCUGACGAAUACUAAUCGAUCGAAGACUUAAUCAA
rnacentral:rRNA from 1 species